UUGCUGAGGCUGACCUUGAACUUGCAAUCCUCCUGCCAUUGCACCAAGCAAGGAGACAGGAUCUUGCUAUGUUGCCUGGGCUGGUCUUGAAUUCCUGGCCUCACACAGACCUCCUACUUCAGCUUUUGAGAGGCUGAAACUGCAGAGGCAUGCCACUGUGUCCAUCAGGUAUGUGUUUUUAACUGUCUCAAUUUUAUGAUGAGCUCUUUGUGAGCAGGAUUUUUAAAAAUUCAUUUUUACAAUUUCAGAAAGUGAGACAAUUCCAGGCACAUUGAGGAGCCUCAUUUUUUUUUUUCAUGAAUCAAAGAUUAGCAUAUGGAUAGGGUAUUUCUGUUAUUUUUACCACAACAUAAAAUGCCAAAUAAAUUUCUGAGUAACGUGUGCUGUGUGUGACAUGUUCUCUUCAUGUGUUAAUAGUGAAUACAACAAGGUUUUAGGUUUCAAGCAUUGCAUGCUGUUCAGUUCUGCUUGUUGUAGAAUGAAUACAAAUAUAAUUUUAAGGGACCAGUGUUAUUCAGGGUUGUGGCUAUAGGCUUCUUCAAAGAAGAGUGGCAGCACCUGAACCCUGCUCGGAGGACCUUGUACAGGGAGAUGAUUCUGAAGAACUACAACCACCUCAUCUUGGUCGGGUAUUGUGUCACCAAGACAGAGGUGGUCUUCAUGUUGGAGCAAGGAGAGGAGAUGAGAACAUUAGAAUCCUCAAGCCAGAGGCAUCCAGAUAUUCUGGUCCCUUCAAGUGUUAACCCUUUGGAGUUUUUCAGGAUUUGAUUUCCUUCAUCCCUCCCUCCUUCCCCUGCCCCCUUCCUUCCUCCCUUCCUCCCUCCCUCCCUCUUCUUUUAUGGUACUGGGAUUUGAACCC